UAGGGAAUCUUCCACAAUGGGCGCAAGCCUGAUGGAGCAACACCGCGUGAGUGAAGAAGGGUUUCGGCUCGUAAAGCUCUGUUGUUAAAGAAGAACACGUAUAAGAGUAACUGUUCAUACGUUGACGGUAUUUAACCAGAAAGUCACGGCUAACUACGUGCCAGCAGCCGCGGUAAUACGUAGGUGGCAAGCGUUAUCCGGAUUUAUUGGGCGUAAAGAGAGUGCAGGCGGUUUUCUAAGUCUGAUGUGAAAGCCUUCGGCUUAACCGGAGAAGUGCAUCGGAAACUGGAUAACUUGAGUGCAGAAGAGGGUAGUGGAACUCCAUGUGUAGCGGUGGAAUGCGUAGAUAUAUGGAAGAACACCAGUGGCGAAGGCGGCUACCUGGUCUGCAACUGACGCUGAGACUCGAAAGCAUGGGUAGCGAACAGGAUUAGAUACCCUGGUAGUCCAUGCCGUAAACGAUGAGUGCUAGGUGUUGGAGGUUUCCGCCCUUCAGUGCCGGAGCUAACGCAUUAAGCACUCCGCCUGGGGAGUA
rnacentral:rRNA from 1 species